GGAAAACCUGGCGCCUCCUGCCCGGAUCAGACGACUCGAAACUGCACGGAGUGGAAAGGGGGGGGGGAGUAAAAACAGUGAAAAAAGAGGAGAGAUCGCUGAAAUGCAGGCUUGGGACUGGGAGGAUGGAGGGAUGUCGUGUUGCUGCACUGAGCGUUACAGGCCGCAUAGGCUGCAAGAAAAGCAGGAAUCACGAAAAUCAACAAUUUCGUCAAGAGCUGCACAACUGCUGCAAGAUGCACCACUACAGAGGGAAAUGGCCAUUCUUUUUUUGUUAAUCAGGAAUGUGAGAGUACUUCCUGCUUUGUUACAAAAUGUAAAUAUAUCGUAGGUAUUUUUAACGACCAAGGUGACUCAUUAAUUAGAUAUUCUUUUGUCGCCCACAAUAAUUUAAAAGGAAAAUGCAUAUUUUUGCAUGAAUAUUUUGCUAUAGCCUACAAACCUUUGAUUUAGCCUAAUGCAGCCGCUGAAACGAUUUGGUGACCGUCAUAACUAUAUAUAUUCAUAUUUUUUAUGUCAUUUUUCAUUUAGACACAUCUCAUUCGCUCUCAGGACUGCACCAGUUCUUUUGCAAACUGCUAUGAGCUAUUUAAAUAAAUGAAUAAAAAAAUCAUAUGGGCAUAAAACUGUGACAAAUCUCUACAGGACAAAUAAAAACAAAAACUGA